rnacentral:rRNA from 1 species
UACGGAGGGUGCAAGCGUCAUCCGGAUUUACUGGGUUUAAAGGGUGCGUAGGUGGGCUUGUAAGUCAGUGGUGAAAUCUCCGGGCUUAACCCGGAAAUUGCCAUUGAUACUAUAGAUCUUGAAUCAUCUGGAGGUAAGCGGAAUAUGUCAUGUAGCGGUGAAAUGCUUAGAUAUGACAUAGAACACCAAUUGCGAAGGCAGCUUACUACGGAUGCAUUGACACUGAGGCACGAAAGCGUGGGGAUCAAACAGG